rnacentral:rRNA from 1 species
UCAAGCGAAUAAGUGCAUGUGGUGGAUGCCUUGGCGAUUACAGGCGAUGAAGGACGUGUAAGCCUGCGAAAAGCUGCGGGGAGCUGGCAAUAGAGCUUUGAUCCGCAGAUGUCCGAAUGGGGAAACCCGGCCCUUUCAGGGUCAUCCCGUGCUGAAUACAUAGGCACGUGGAGGCGAACGCGGCGAACUGAAACAUCUAAGUAGCCGCAGGAAAAGAAAUCAACCGAGAUUCCCAAAGUAGUGGCGAGCGAAAUGGGACCAGCCUGUACGACUAAACCAGAGAUUCAACAAAACGGGAUGGAAAGCCCGGCCAUAGAAGGUGAUAGCCCUGUAUGUGAAGUGUUUCUGGCGGGUCUGAGCGUACGACAAGUAGGGCGGGACACGUGGAAUCCUGUCUGAAUAUGGGGGGACCAUCCUCCAAGGCUAAAUACUCGUAAUCGACCGAUAGUGAACCAGUACCGUGAGGGAAAGGCGAAAAGAACCCCGGGAGGGGAGUGAAAUAGAUCCUGAAACCGCAUGCAUACAAACAGUGGGAGCCUCCUUGAGGGGUGACUGCGUACCUUUUGUAUAAUGGGUCAGCGACUUACGUUCAGUGGCGAGCUUAACCGAAUAGGGGAGGCGUAGCGAAAGCGAGUCUGAUAAGGGCGACUUAGUCGCUGGGCGUAGACCCGAAACCGGAUGAUCUAUCCAUGGCCAGGAUGAAGGUGCCGUAACAGGUACUGGAGGUCCGAACCCACUAACGUUGAAAAGUUAGGGGAUGAGCUGUGGAUAGGGGUGAAAGGCCAAACAAAUCCGGAAAUAGCUGGUUCUCCCCGAAAACUAUUUAGGUAGUGCGUCGUACGGACACUUCCGGGGGUAGAGCACUGUCAUCGUUGGGGGGGUCAUUGCGAUUUACCCCGCGAUAGCAAACUCCGAAUACCGGAAAGUGAUAUACGGCAGACAGACAUCGGGUGCUAACGUCCGGUGUCAAGAGGGAAACAACCCAGACCGCCAGCUAAGGUCCCAAAUACAUGGCUAAGUGGUAAACGAGGUGGGAAGGCAUAGACAGCUAGGAGGUUGGCUUAGAAGCAGCCACCCUUUAAAGAAAGCGUAAUAGCUCACUAGUCGAGUCGUCCUGCGCGGAAGAUGUAACGGGGCUCAAGCCAUGAACCGAAGCUGCGGAUGCGUACCUAGUACGCAUGGUAGGGGAGCGUUCUGUAAGCCUGCGAAGGUGUCUCGUAAGGGAUGCUGGAGGUAUCAGAAGUGCGAAUGCUGACAUGAGUAGCGAUAAAGGGAGUGAAAAGCUCCCUCGCCGAAAACCCAAGGUUUCCUGCGCAACGUUCAUCGGCGCAGGGUGAGUCGGCCCCUAAGGCGAGGCAGAAAUGCGUAGUCGAUGGGAAACAGGUCAAUAUUCCUGUACCACUCUUUAAUGCGAUGGGGGGACGGAGAAGGUUAGAUCAGCCGGGUGUUGGACGUCCCGGUUUAAGCGUGUAGUCGUGCCUGGUAGGCAAAUCCGCCGGGCUUAGACGAGGCGUGAUGACGAGGGCUCAUUGAGCCUGAAGUGAUUAAUACCAUGCUUCCAGGAAAAGCCUCUAAGCUUCAGUUAAAGAGUGACCGUACCGCAAACCGACACAGGUGGGUAGGUAGAAAAUACCAAGGCGCUUGAGAGAACUCAGGAGAAGGAACUCGGCAAAUUGACACCGUAACUUCGGGAGAAGGUGUGCCUCUUGUAUGUGAAGCCCCUGCGGGCGGAGCAGAAGGAGGUCUCAGAGAAUCGGUGGCUGCGACUGUUUAUUAAAAACACAGCACUCUGCAAACACGAAAGUGGACGUAUAGGGUGUGACGCCUGCCCGGUGCCGGAAGGUUAAGUGAUGGGGUGCAAGCUCUUGAUCGAAGCCCCGGUAAACGGCGGCCGUAACUAUAACGGUCCUAAGGUAGCGAAAUUCCUUGUCGGGUAAGUUCCGACCUGCACGAAUGGCGUAACGAUGGCCACACUGUCUCCUCCUGAGACUCAGCGAAGUUGAAAUG